rnacentral:snoRNA from 10 species
UGCUCUGAUGAAAUCACUAAUAGGAAGUGCCGUCAGAAGCGAUAACUGACGAAGACUACUCCUGUCUGAUU